AUUGAACGCUGGCGGCAGGCCUAACACAUGCAAGUCGAGCGGAGCGGCGGACGGGUGAGUAAUGCCUAGGAAUCUGCCUGAUAGUGGGGGAUAACGUCCGGAAACGGGCGCUAAUACCGCAUACUCUCAGCUGAGCCUCGGUCGGAUUAGCUAGUUGGUGGGGUAAAGGCCUACCAAGGCGACGAUCCGUAACUGGUCUGAGAGGAUGAUCAGUCACACUGGAACUGAGACACGGUCCAGACUCCUACGGGAGGCAGCAGUGGGGAAUAUUGCACAAGGGGCGCAAGCCUGAUGCAGCCAUGCCGCGUGUAUGAAGAAGGCCUUCGGGUUGUAAAGUACUUUCAGCGAGGAGGCGUUACUCGCAGAAGAAGCACCGGCUAACUCCGUGCCAGCCGCCGCGGUAAUUC
rnacentral:rRNA from 1 species